GUUGGAGUUCAAUUGGGUAACUCUUCAUUUCUAGUCUUUUCUUUGUGUCAUCGAUCUUUGAUUUCACCUCCAUAAGUCUCUCUGUGUAUUGUAUUCUGUCUCGUGAGAUCUGAUGGAGAUUUUAGCAAAUUACUGUUCUUUCUAAGAAGAUUAAAUUGGGUUCUGGAGGGAUCGAGGAAUGUGUGGUUUUGUUUUAGAUGCAUCGCUUUUUAUUUUUUUUUUUCUCUAGUGUUGAAUUGCUUUUGCGUUCUGUUUGUAUCCCAGAGAGUUUAGAGAGUUUGCUGGAUUAGUUAUGAAUCGAACGGUUUUACACGAUUCGUGCUGAUUUAGAAUUGAAAUUUUCGAUGUUUUUGAGUUUUCGGUGUCCAUUUUCGUAGUUUCUGUUUGGUAGCUGCGAAAAUUUGAAGGAAAUUGGAUUUUGAUUCUUGAAUUUAAAAUGUUGUAAUAGUUUGUGGGUGGGUGUGUGAAAUGAUUAGGAUUAUCUUUGGGGUUUAUCUGCCUUGUUUUUUGCGAACUUGACUAGGUCUCUGUCUAGUACCGAGAAAACCGGGGAUAAGUGAACUUGAUCGACUAAUUUCAUUUUUUAUGUACUUUUCAUUUGUUGGCCAUUACUCUCUUCUCCUCUUAUAUUACCUUGGCUGAUGAAUGUUUAGCU
rnacentral:misc_RNA from 1 species